rnacentral:rRNA from 1 species
UACGGAGAGUGCAAGCAUUAAUCGGAAUUAUUGGGCGUAAAGGGCGCGUAGGCGGAUAGGUAAGUCAGAUGUGAAAUUCCGAAGCUCAACUUCGGAGCUGCAUUUGAAACUGCCAUUCUCGAGGAUUGACGGAGAAAACGGAAUUCCUGGUGUAGCGGUGAAAUGCGUAGAUAUCAGGAGGAAUACCUAUGGCGAAAGCAGGUAUCUGGGCCAUCACUGACGCUGAGCUGCGAAAGCUAGGGGAGCAAACAGG